rnacentral:rRNA from 1 species
UACGUAGGGUGCGAGCGUUGUCCGGAAUUAUUGGGCGUAAAGGGCUCGUAGGCGGUUUGUCGCGUCGGGAGUGAAAACCCAGGGCUUAACCCUGGGCUGGCUUCCGAUACGGGCAGACUAGAGGUAUGCAGGGGAGAACAGAAUUCCUGGUGUAGCGGUGAAAUGCGCAGAUAUCAGGAGGAACACCAAUGGCGAAGGCAGCACUCUGGGACGUGACUGACGCUGAGACGCGAAAGCGUGGGGAGCAAACAGG